rnacentral:rRNA from 1 species
GAUAAACGCUGGCGGCGUGCCUAAUGCAUGCAAGUCGAACGGUCUAGUUUCUUCGGAAGCUAGGUAGUGGCAAACGGGUGAGUAACACGUGGGGAUCUGCCCAGUAGUGGGGAACAACUCCGAGAAAUCGGAGCUAAUACCGCAUACGGUAGGUGUUGAAGGACACCAUACUAAAGCCGACGUAAGAAGGCGCUAUUGGAGGAACCUGCGGCUGAUUAGCUAGUUGGUGGGUAAAGCCUACCAAGGCGAUGAUCAGUAGCUGGUCUGAGAGGAUGGACAGCCACACUGGGACUGAGAUACGGCCCAGACUCCUACGGGAGGCAGCAGCAAGGAAUUUUCGUC